UCGGCACGCCCCACGCUCAUUACUGUUAAUACACGCUAAGCUUCUUUUGAAUUUGGUGGCCAAAAGCUAUCUGAACGAUCGGGUUUGUGCUUAUCCAUGCCUGGUGGUCAUAAGUAUUAUCGUGGCUAAGAAACACUCAAUACACACGCUGAUUACUUCCAGUGAAAACUUGAAUUAUUUUCAGCGGUAAAAUCAAAUACAAGGUGCUCAAUGAGAAUGCUGGUGUGUUGCGCUUGAUUUCGUUGAUAGAUAAUAAUUCCAAGUUGUGAGCGACGGAGAACAAGGGUAAGAUUUGUAAUUUAUCCUUCAUUGUCCGGAUAGCAGCUGGAUCAACAUAAGUACAGUUUGGUGCCCCAGCCCUACCUUUCUGAUUUUGUUUCCUCCUAACUUUUUUAAUGCAGGUUUUUUUUAAAUGAGAUUUUGCAAACAUGACAUGUAAAUGAGGGGCACCUAAAUGAGGAUCAUAUGGAUGAAAAAUUUCAACGUAUUUAUUUAUUCGAGAAAGAAAAGAAGUCCAUACUGUUUUUUAGCUAUUUGAUAAUUUUGUCGUGACCAUUGCACGUUAAGAAAUCUGUGACAUUAUUAAUGACCAAAAUGAAAUUGGUAUCAUUUAUCUCUGGUAAAAUUACAGAUUAACACCCGCACGAUUUUCACUAAGAAAAAAAAAAAACUCGGAUUUUAUCUGGUAAUUAUCUUUUACUUGUUUCAGUCAUUGGACUGUGGCCAUGCUGGGGCAUCGCAUUGAAGGGAUUUAGUCGAACAGAUCGACACCAGUAAUCUUUUAGUCGGAUUCUUUGUCGAACCGCCAGUUGCGCUAGACAUAAACCCCGGUUGUCAAGCGCUGGUCACACACACAUAUAUCGGUCUGACCCAUAUAUCCCUAUCAACAUGUGGUGACCGUCCAAUUGAGACACCUUUCUUCUCUUCUCUCUAUUCAUUCUUUAGCAAUAUCUAUAAUCUAUAUAUAUAAAGCUGAAGUUGUCUGUGUGUGUGGCAAGUUUGGUAGCCUUCAACUAACACUAUCUCCUCUGAGACCCUGCAGUGCAAGUUGACCAAAAUUGAGAGUAUGACAGAAGAAGGCUUGUUCUUCAUUCCGUAGAAGAUAAAAUUCAAAUCGGACCAUGUUAACACCAAAAAUUAUUUACAUCAAAAAGGUGCUUUUUUUUCCUAUGAAAAUCCCUAUAUUAAAACGAUUUUUUUACUGCUGUGUUACCAUUUUUCGGUGUAUUUCAAUCAGAAAAAUGUUCACUUAAAGAGAAUAACAAGCUAAAUAAUGCAAAAUUUUUACUUUUCAAAAAUUCCAAUUCUAAGGGGUCGAAGCAAACCCGAGCAACGCCGGGCGAUACUGUUAGUUAUGUAUAUAUGUGUGUGUGUGUGUGACGAGUGUUGUUAUGUAUCUUUACGACCCCACAAAUUUUUUUUUUUCACAUUAAAUUCUGAUAUAAUCGUAAUCUACACAUUCUGAAAAGUAUUUAUUUCAUGAAAAAUUGCCCAUUUUCCUGAAGGAAAAACCCGUCUCGUGUGAAUUUUUCGAAAUUCUUUACCCCGCAUAUUUCGAUAUAAUCAGAAUUUACACCAUCAGAAGCAUAUUUGUAGAAAAUUCCAUUUAAAAAUAUCAUUUUUCAGGAAUUAAUGAGGCAACAAAAUCGGGGUGAGGAACACAUCUGUAGGGAUGUCUUUUUUAAUCAAAAAGAUAUCAUUUGUAAUCGCUAUGUACACCUUCGAAAACGUAACUCCGCAUUUGGCAGGGGCGGGAGUGAGGGAUUAAUGCGUAUUGUUAAAAAUAUUCAUGAAAAGACAAAGUGAGUGGGGCAUCAAACUGUAGUUGUGCCCUUGAAUCUUUACGGUCAUACUUAUAUUCUCUAACGAAGUAAAUAUUACACACUAUCGAAACCACAGUGAUGGUGUCUUGUCUCAGGAAAUAUUAAUUUAUUAUUAUUUCAAAUUCUGGAGGAUUUUGCUUUCGUUAAUUCAACUUUCUCCUGUAUUAUCUCACUGUUGUAUCAUAUUUCAUAUACUAUCGAGGCAUUCGGUCCACGAUCGUAGGGUCGGGAGAUCGAUUCUCUGCGGCGCAUUGUCUCCUUGAGCAAGACAAUUCAUUUCACAUUACUUUGUUAUAUCCUGUGUCACGCUGAUUCUCCCUGAAAACUACGUUAAGGGUAUGCAUGUCUGCGGAGUACUCAGUCACUUGCACGUUAAUUUUUCAAGAGGAGUCUGUUCUGUUGAUUGGAUCAACUGGGACAUUACUGGCGAAGUGCCAGUCAUGUCCUGUUGGCGACAGGAAGGGCAUCCAGCUGUAGAAAAACCUCCUCGACAAAUCCCCCCCAACCUAUGCCAGCGCGGGAAAGUAGACGUUAAAACGGUGAUGAUGAUGAUGAAUCUUGAGGCAGAAUAAAGAAAGUAUUAAUGAUUUUUACAGCAACAAGCUCAACUUUCUCAUGGGAUUUGCACCCUUGAGCUGUUACUUAUCAAAUCCAACAACAACAAAAGCAGUGAUGAUCCUUUCGAGUUUGCAAUAACAAUGUCCUUCAACCCACCAUUGUUCACGUUGAACUUUCUCAACAACAGCUGAUCAACUUCUUCCACCACCAUUUUUUCCCCGCCAUUAAGAGAUGUGUUUUUUUUUUCAGAAAAGGAAAACGGAAUCGCACCAUCUGCUAUUCAGUGUCAUUCACACCCUGUUUGCUAAAACGGUGAGAUUUUGCUCCACACUUCCUUAAUUGAUUGAUGCUUCGUGUCACACAACAACUCCAGAGUCUAUUUUUAGACUUACUUGUCAUUUUACCGGGACUACUACAAAUUAGAUCUCAAUAGUUGUACAUAGAAAGGCGGCGAGCUGAGAGAAUCGUUUGCACGUCAGGUGAAAUGCUUGGCCGUGGUUCGUCUGCCGCUAUGUUCUGAGUGUUUCUACUUUAGCCCUGUGUUCAUCAAUGUCUUGUGAGUCUAUUUCGUAGAUGGAAACUGAAAGAAACCCACCAUGUGUGUAUCUGUGUUUGUUCCUUACCACUGCUUGACAACCAGUGUUGGUGUGUUUACAUCCCCAUGACCUAGCAGUUCAGUAAAAAGGAUUUGAGAAAAUAAGUACCAUGCUUUAAAAAAAUAAGUACUGAAGUAAAUUCAUUCAAGUAAAUUUCUUCAAUGCACUGCCCCAGCUUGGCCACAGUCUUUGACUGAAACAAGUAAAAGAAUAAAAAAACAAAUAUAUAUAUAUAUAUUCCAUCUCCCAUAACAUAUCAAUAAGCAAAAAAAAACCCCACUUUGUGACUGAAGUCCAUAGCAGUGCCAGGCUGUACAGGAAAGCCUUAUGGAUCAAUGAAUUGUCCUCAAAUAUUUACUUUGCUUAUUCACACAGCUGAAACUGAUUAAAAAGGCUUUUCAUUAUCAUCAUCAUUUAACAUCUGUUGUCCAUGCUGGCAUGGGUUGGACGGUUUGACCAGGGCUGGCAAGCUGGAAGGCUGCACCAGACCCCAGUCUGAUUUGGCAUGGUUUCUAUGACUGGAUGCCCUUCCUAACACCAACCACUCCUAGAAUGUAAUGAGGACAAAGACUGCUAAACUACAUUGAUGUUAUUUGCUCAGAUACUAAACAUGAAACUGCAUAAGGACCAAAGUUAAUGUGGGUGCUGUUGGGGAGGAUGAGCAGAGGUUCAUGGCUGAACAGUGUUUUGCAUUUCAGUUGUAGCACUUUGGAGAAUAUUUAUCAUGAAUUCUUUCAAUUUAAUCUAAAUUUCAAAACUGAAGAUUUUUUAAAGCGAUUCAGAAGACCCAUCAAGCCAAGCAAAAUCGCAGUCGUGGCAGAUGCCGGUGUCACACAAAUUGGCACCCGUGCUGGUGGCACAUAAAAAUACCCAUUACACUCUUGGAGUGGUUGGCAUUAGGAAGGACAUCCAGCCAUAGAAAACCAUACCAAAUCCAACUGGAGUCUGGCACAGCUUUUGAACUCUGAACGCAAAGACAGACGAAAUACCUAUUUCUUUACUGUUAACGAAGGCUGUUUGCCUUGGUUAACAGAAAACAAAUGGAUCAGGUGAGCAGAAGGCAAUCUUAACAAAUCAGCUAAAAGCAACUUCUCAACAUGUUCAAGCAGGGCUGUGUGGUUCAGAAGCUCACUUUGUAACCACAUGGUUUCAGGUUCAGUUCCAAUGCAUGGCACCUUGGGAAACUUUUCUGCUAUAGCUCCACACUGGCCAAUGCCUUGUGAGUGGAUUUCAUAGACAGAAACUGUAUGGAAGCCCACCAUAUAUAUAUAUAUAUAUAUAUUAAUGUAAUUAUUGUGUAUAGUGCUCAGGUAAGUGCACUACAACUCAAUCAAAGGUGCAUGUACAGUACAUAGGAUUAUGUAGAAAAGUCAGGAAAGUGAACAGUGUAUGAGUCAUGAUAUACAUGUGUGCAUGUGUAUGGAGGUCGGAUGUCAGGUGUGGUGUUGGUGAAUUUCAGGAAGCAUGGAGGUUUUAAAGGAUGCAAUGUCUCAGCAACUAACAACUGAUGCAGGUAGUUUGUUCCAUGCUUCAGCGACUCUGAGCGUGAAAAAAUGUUUCUGGAAGUCAUGAGGUGCUGUGCUGUUUUCUGACUUUGUAGCCAUGCCCACAUGUGUUAGACACAUGGAGCUCAAAAAGGUGCUUUAGGUGGUUGUUGGCAUGAGGGUUAAUAAUUUUGUGGAUAUUUACCAAGUCACUUGGCAGAAGUCGAGGCUUCAAUGUAUCUAAGCCCAGGGAAGCAAGGGGUUCAGAGUAUGGUAGAUGCCUGAUGGAGGGUUUUUUGCUUGGUUGCACAUUUCUGAACAGUUUCCAGGAGGUCAAUAUCCUGAGCAAGAUAGGGUUUCCAGACUGGUGAUGCAAAUUCCAAGUGUGGCCACACCAUAGCCAUUAUACAGCCCUAAAUAGAUAGCUGGAGAGCAGCUGGUGAAGGUCUUCUUGAGUGAUGCCAAGACACCCUCGGCCUUCGUGACAAUUCUAGAGAUGUGUUUUGUCCAGCGCAAAUCGCUGCUGAUAGUAACACCUGGGUCACGUUCACAAGGAGACUUCUUGAUAUUAUUGUUGUGGACGGAGUAUGUGGACACUGGGUUUUUCCUCCCAAAAUGCCUGGUGGUACAUUUGUCCACAGCCAGCCUGAGUUGCCAGUCCAUGAUCCAUUGCUGGAUUGUGUCCAGGUCCGAUUGCAGGAAAGAUCUGUAGUGUUCAGGGUAGAAAUUCUACUGGAAAGUAAUGUUUGUUGCCAUUUCAACAUGGCUGUUCCGUACAGAACAACAUUACUUUUUCCUUUUUAACCCCAGAACUUCUUCUGCUGGUUAACAACACAGCCUGUAUAUUAUUUACAUUUGACGGAUAUCUGUCCUCAUCUUGUUUGUUGUUAACACAACAUUUCGGCUAAUAUACCCUCCAGCCUUCAUCAGGUGUCUUGGGGAAAUUUCGAACCUGGGUUCUCAUUCCUAAGGUAUUUUUAAAUGUUGUUGUUGUUAUUAUUAUUCAGGUUACAGCUUGGAAUCGAACUCAGAAUCUUGUGAUGAGUAGCCCGCACUCUUAACCACUAUGUCAUGUGCGUGGGUAUAACAGAUGAAACGUUGUGUUAACAACAAACAAGGUGAGGACAUAAUUGUACAUAAUUCCUCAUCUCUUAAAUAUAGAACUGUAGAACGCAGUCUGUGUCUGAUAUAUAUAUCGAAAUAUAUCGGACACAGGUUGUAUCGUUAACCAGCUGGAGGAGGUGGUCACCUGGGAUUAACAAAGAGUAGUAACGUUGUUCCGUACGGAACAGCCAUAUUGACAUGGCAACAAGCAUUUCUUUAUAAAUAUACAUAGGCACAGGAGUGGCUGUGUGGUAAGUAGCUUGCUUCCCAACCACAUGGUUCCGGGUUCAGUCCCACUGCGUGGCACCUUGGGCAAGUGUCUUCUACUAUAGCCUCGGGCCGACCAAAGCCUUGUGAGUGGAUUUGGUAGAUGGAAACUAAAAGAAGCCUGUCGUAUAUAUGUUUGUGUGUCUGUGUUUGUCUCCCCACCAUCGCUUAACAACCGAUAUUGGUGUGUUUACUUCCCUGUAACUUAGCGGUUCGGCAAAAAUGACCGAUAGAAUAAGUACUAGGCUUACAAAGAAUAAGUCCUGGGAUCGAUUUGCUUGACUAAAGGCGGUACUCCAGCAUGGCCGCAGUGAAAUGACUGAAACAAGUAAAAGAAUAUAUACAUACAAACAUCUCUUCCUCUCUCCCUCUCUUUCUAUAUAUAUGGAUGCAUAACCAACUUCGGUAUCUGUAUAUAUUUUAAUUCAGGAUCACUUAGCCAUCCCUGUACCUGUUUCACCUCACCACUUCAGCUCAUGAAUAAUAACUAUCACCAAUUACCUCCCCUUGUUGAUUCCUUCACAAGCUCUCAUACAAAAAUUUGGACUAAAAAAAUUUAAGAAAAUAUGAAAUCACACACAUUUCAACAUUAUGAUUAGUGAAAGCGAAACCAGUCAACGACCACAAUACUCUUUUAUUUAAAAUAUAUUAAAUCUAUGUAAAAUGUGUGCAUUUUUCUUCUUUUAUUAUAUAUAUACUCUUUUACUAUGUAUGUAUAUAUAUAUAUAUAUAUAUAUAUAUAUAUGUAUAUAUAUAAUAUAUAUUAUAUAUAUACAAACAUAUUUAUAUAUGUAUGUGUACGUGUGUGUGUGUAUAUAUAUAUAUAUAUAUAUAUAUAUAUAUACUUUAUAAUUAGGGUUCAGCAAAGAUUUGCUUUACCAUAUACCGAAGUUUAGAAAUAGCAGUCAAAAAACUUUAGCUAUUUCUUCUACUUUAAAAAGGGACUUUUAAAGUAGAAGAAAUAGCUAAAGUUUUUUGACUUUACUGAACCCUGAUUAUAAAGUACUACUUAAAUUUACCAUGAAAUGGUCUUUUUUCAUGCCAAAUUCUACUUGGUGAAAUUAUUGAUUACUUCUUAAUUAAUUAAUUUUACCCUUUGUUAUUAUAUAUAUAUAUAUCAUCAUCAUCAUCGUUUAACGUCCAUUUUCCAUACUGGCAUGGGUUGGCCAGUUUGACUGAGGGCUGGACAGCCAGCAGCCGCACCAGGCUCCACUCUGAUCUGGCAAUGUUUCUACAGCUGGAUGCCCUUCCUUAUGCCAACCAGUCUGAGAGUGUAGUGGGUGCUUUUUACAUGCCACUGGCACAGGAGCCAAUGCAUAUAUAUAUAUAUAUACAUAUAUUCAUACAGACAGACAUACAUACAUAUAUAUAUGUGUGUGUGUGUCUUUGUGUUUGUCCACUCCUCCUUACCACUUAACAGCCAGUGUUAGUUUGUUUAUCUCCCCGUAACUUUGCAGGUCAGCCAAAGGGACCAAUAGGAUUAGUACCAGACUAACCAGACUUAAGCAAAUUAAAUCUCAAUGUCAGCUUGUUUGACACCUUUCAAGGCUGAGACCCAGCUUGGCUGCUGUCCAAUGACUGAAUCAAGUGAAAGAUAAAAGCUAUAAACAUACAUAACAGAUAUUGCACAGCUGCAGCACCAAAGUUGCCAUCUUGCUUCUAUUUUACGAUUUAUUCCUGUCUUUAUAUCAUAAUAACAGCAAUGUGCUAUUGUCAUAUAAAUUAAGGCUUUAUUGAAGAAGUCAAACAUGGACAUCAGCGCAGCACAGGGGCAGACAACUUUGCUCAUGCUGCAAAUUCAGAUGCCUCAUUCUCAGAACAUUGCAUUAACUACAUUAUUUAUGUUAUUUACAUUAUUUACAUUUGACAGAUAUUUGUCCUCAUCUUGUUUGUUGUUAACACAAAGUUUCGGCUGAUAUACCCUUCAGCCUUCAUCAAAUGUCUUGGGGAAAUUUCAAACCUGGGUUCUCAUUCCUAAGGUAUUUUUCGAUAUUAUUAUUAUUAUUGUUGUUAUUAUUAUUAUUAUUAUUAUCAUCAUUAUUAUUAUUAUUAUUAUUAUUAUUAUUAUUAUCAUUAUUAUUAUUUAGGUCACUGCCUGGAAUUGAACUCAGAAUCUUGGGGUUAGUAGCCCACGCUCUUAACCACUAUGCUGUAUGCCCAAGAUUCCGAGUUCGAUUCCUGAAUAAUAAUAAUAAUAAUAAUAUUAAUAAUAAUAACAACGACAACAUUGAAAAAUACCUUGACCAUUAGACCACACAGCCUUACUGAGUUUGUGUGUGUAUUUAUGCCCCGCCAUCACUUGACAACCAGUGCUGGUUUGUUUAUGUCUCCAUAGCUUAACUAUGCAGUAAGUAAGACCUAUAGAAUAAAUACCUGAAAUAAAAUGAUAAUUUCUGGGGCCAAUUUGUUUGAUUAAAGCCCCUCAAGGUAGUGCCCUAGCAUGGCCACACUCCAAUGGUUGAAAGCCUUUCAGCAAGCAGAGAAGAUAACUUCAGACAUAUUUCAGCCUUGUGAGACCUCCUCAGUGGAAAUGAAAGUUUUCCUUCAAGAGAAAGACAAUAAUAUUGCAUGGCUGCUAUAUUCAACAUUAACCACUUGUAGAACUGUUAUAAAAUAUGCCCACCACCCACCAUUGGAUUCACUUGCUGAAACUUUGAUUUUCUUUUAGCAAAUUACAGGAGGAAGAGCAGACAUCUGCAAGUUUCCAAAGACUGGAGAGGUUGAUGGAACUGGUGUUUAGUUGAAACCUCCCUAAGUCAACAUCCACUCACAUGCACAAGAUGUAACAAACAUUUACCGUUAUCUUCUGUUCCAGAACCACAGAUCCACAAAGCA
rnacentral:lncRNA from 1 species